rnacentral:rRNA from 1 species
UGUGCCCAGAUGGGAUUAGCUAGUAGGUGGGGUAACGGCUCACCUAGGCGACGAUCCCUAGCUGGUCUGAGAGGAUGACCAGCCACACUGGAACUGAGACACGGUCCAGACUCCUAGGGAGGCAGCAUG